ACAGGAAUCACCUAGGGAUCUUGUUAAAAUGCAGGUUCUGAUGCAGUAGGCCUGAGGUGGGACUUGAGAGUCUGCACUUCUAACCAAUCCCAGGUGAUGCUGAU
rnacentral:pre_miRNA from 1 species